UUCAAGGGACGGGUUGCGUCCGCGUGAAUGCUCCGGCAUCCACGUGGGGCGUGGGUCCUACGCAGCGGCCUGGAAACCCUAGGAUGCCGUGCCAUAAAGGAGCAGGUAGUGCGUCCCUCUUUAUAGGGGUGUGGCCCUGUAUUCACAGCCGGCAAACGCUGCUACUUCCUAUCAGACCGCAUGAACCCGUAAUGGGGGAUGGACUUAGGGGGGCACGCAUAUAGGUUAGGGUACUCUCCUGAUCCUUCGGGGUUGGGGGGGCGUACCGGACAGUCGGCAACUGUGCAUGGCCCUCCGGGGCCGGCCUUUUGCCCAGCAAUGGACCUGACGAUACUGAAAGCGUGUUUGGGGCUGGUAUCCUGGGACCUUCACGUGGUGGCCCUGUUUAAACUAAUCUUACCAGGAUGUGCUUCCAGAAGGGUUACAUCUAAAAACAAGGUACAAGGUAUAGAUGAGAAGCUUACUGGAGAGAAGUGGGAAAGUAGCGAUGAACCAACGACUUCAGGGGAAUCCGAUCGUCCAAUCCAAGUUAUUUUGUUAUUGCAGUUUAACCCCCCCCCUCCCCACUGGAGAUGAGAGGCUGUAGAGGAAUUUGUUGUGGUGACAAUGAAUCAUUCUAAUCAAAGUCAGUAUGGGCUCUUAGAAACACGCAGGAGACAAGAUCUGCCGCAGUCAUUGUUAGCAAGAACUACCAUUUUAAUAAGGUGGACCACACAGACAGCACGAUAGCCUUGCAGAGGAGAGCGUUUCUCACAAGUGGAUUUACAACUGACUGACCAAUCAACCUUCAUCGGAACUUUCUGAAGUAGUGGUGGUGGGAAAGCGGUGGUGGGAAAGCUAGGUUUUCAGGAGGUUGCUGACAGCCAGGUGAUGACCAGCAUCUUUCACCAGUAGUCUCCUGGUCUUCC